CGACUAUUGGGGGAAAUGCACGAAAGUCACAGUUACCUCAGCAUUAGCCAGACUGCUAACCGUGACACCGGUGGCUCCUACGACUACCGGGGGAAAGGCACACAAGUCACAGUUACCUCAGGUGUUAAAGAAGCUCCAACUGCCGUUGUGACAGCAAAACUCGAGCCGCCUAAACGUGUUAAAGAAGCUCCAACUGCCGUUGUGACAGCAAAACUCGAGCCGCCUAAACUCGUAAUCAAGUCCGCCGCUCUUUAUCUAAUGAUCCCGACUGAGGACCAGCUAAAGCACAACAAGACCGCUUCCUUUGCCUGCUUUGCCAGCGAAUUUUUUCCCAAGGAACUCACUUUUACAUGGAGCAAGAAUGGCAAGGUGUUGACUGGUGACAUCACAACCCUGCCCGUGGUGGAAAUUAGCGGAAACUACAGCGUCUCCAGCUUUCUGCAUCUUUCUGAAAAUCAGUGGAAAUCUGGAGACAACGUCUCCUGUGCAAUUAAACACCCAGGCGGAGACUUCGUAAGGACGGCCAUUUACAAAAAUCCCUCUAGCGAUUGUGGAGGAAUUCCCGUUCAGGUGACAAUCCCCGAACCAUCCACCACGGAGCUGUUCCUGCAUGGCCGGGUGGAGCUGAAAUGCCAAAUCACCGGGGAAUUGGGAGUCGUCAGCGAUGUUGAGUGGCGAAAUGGAGAUGGCACGGUCCUCGUGUCCGACAGCAAAGUUGUGGGAAAUUCCCGAAUCGUAACGCUCCUGGCCAAGAAAGACGACUGGGCCAAUGGAACAAAGUACACAUGCAUAGUGAUGCACGAUUGUUCCGGACCUCCAAUUUCCACGCCCUACAGUCGAGAUAUCGGACGUGAGAUGCAGCGCCCCACCGUGUUUAUAAUGAUCCCAACCGAAAGGGCUAGCACCAGAAAAGUGACCCUGGUCUGCUACGCUAAAGGAUUCUACCCCAAGGAGGUGCUAUUCUCUUGGUUUGCCGACGACGUGUCCAUGGAUAGACCAAAGUUCCAGACCAGCAAGGCGGUUGAAAUGGAUAGUCUAUACUCUGCGUACAGCCAGCUGUCUGUCAGCAUUGAGGACUGGGAGAAGGGCACCGUGUACGGCUGUGCGGUACACCAUGAGUCUGUGUCCAACAACGAAAACAGAGCAGUAGUCAGGACCAUUGACAGCAUCUCCCAGAAGGCCUCCACCGUUAGCUUUGAUAUGUGUCGUUCUGGCAACAGCCCGGCUUGACAACGCACGCUCCCGUUCCUGUACCUGUCCUUCCUUUGUGCCUGGUUCAGUCUGACUGCAGUGUCUGUCUGUCUGUCUGAGUGUGCCUCUCUAUCUUUAAAGUUUUUAAAAAUGCAGAAACAAAAUGACAAUAAAAAUAAAUGAAUAAAAAAGAGGCAUGUCUG